AAACAUAACCUUUAGCCAAACAAAUAUUAAAGGCGACGCCUGCCCAGUGAACAAUUAAACGGCCGCGGUAUCCUAACCGUGCAAAGGUAGCAUAAUCAUUUGUCUACUAAUUAUAGACCUGUAUGAAGGGCAAAAUGAGGGUCUUACUGUCUCCUAUAAUCAGUCAAUUAAACUGAUCUACUAGUAAAAAAGCUAGAAUCCCAACAUAAGACCAGAAGACCCUGUGAAGCUUAAACUACACUAUUAAAUCACAUAAUAGCUACUUUCGGUUGGGGCGACCUUGGAAAAAAAAAGAACUUCCAACACAGUGACCACCUCACACCAAAUCAGGCCCACAAGCCACUAACAUGACCCAGUUAAGACUGAUAAAUGAAACAAGUUACUCCAGGGAUAACAGCGCAAUCUUCUUUAAGAGCCCAUAUCAAAAAGAAGGUUUACGACCUCGAUGUUGGAUCAGGACAUCCUAAUGGUGCAGCCGCUAUUAAGGGUUCGUUUGUUCAACGAUUAAUAGUCCCACGUGAUCU
rnacentral:rRNA from 1 species